rnacentral:rRNA from 1 species
UACACUACAGGAAGGGCGCAUGGAGGAUGCCUUGGCUCUCGGAGGCGACGAAGGACGCGACAAGCUGCGAAAAGCCGCGGCGAGGGGCAAAUACCCAUUGACCCGCGGAUGUCCGAAUGGGGCAACCCACCGGAAGCGAUUCCGGUAUCCGUUGAUUGACGGAGGCGAACGCAGGGAACUGAAACAUCUUAGUACCUGCAGGAAGAGAAAGUAAACACGAUUCCCCCAGUAGAGGCGAUCGAACGGGGAAUAGCCCAAACCGCCGGCGUUGCAAAGCGCCGACGGGGUUGUAGGACCGCUCAAAGGCUGUUGGAAGGCGAGCGGAAGCGCAUGGAACGGCGCGCCGCAGCGGGUGAGAGCCCCGUACGCGAAGCCCGAAGACACAGGAGCGGCACCUGAGUAAGCCGGGACACGAGGAAUCCCGGUCGAAUCCACGGGGACCAUCCCGUAAGGCUAAAUACUACCGAGAGACCGAUAGCGAACCAGUACCGUGAGGGAAAGGUGAAAAGGACCCCGGAAGGGGAGUGAAAGAGACCCUGAAACCAUGCGCCUACAAGCGGUCGGAGCCGCGUAAUGCGGUGACGGCGUGCCUUUUGCAUAAUGAGCCUGCGAGUUGUGGUCAUUGGCGAGGCUAAGAGCCGAAGGUUCGGAGCCGGAGCGAAAGCGAGUCCGAAGAGGGCGUAUAGUCGAUGGCUGCAGACGCGAAACCGGGUGAUCUACGCAUGGGCAGGCUGAAGGCUGGGUAACACCAGCUGGAGGGCCGAACCGGUAAGCGUUGAAAAGCUUUCGGAUGACCUGUGCGUAGGAGUGAAAGGCCAAUCAAACCCGGAGAUAGCUCGUACUCCCCGAAAUGCAUUUAGGUGCAGCCUCGGUAAAGACCGACGGAGGUAGAGCGACCGAUAGGGUGCGAGGGCUUCGCCGCCUAUCAAGCCCUGACGAACUCCGAAUGCCGUCGGUUGCUUACCGGGAGUGAGGGCGCGGGUGCUAAGGUCCGCGUCCGAAAGAGGAACAACUCAGACCACCGUCUAAGGCCCCGAAAUCCGGGCCGAGUUGAAGCCAAUAACGAGGUGGGACCGCAUAGACAGUUAGGAUGUUGGCUUGGAAGCAGCCAUUCAUUCAAAGAGUGCGUAACAGCUCACUAAUCGAGCGGUCCCGCGUGGAUAAUAAUCGGGCAUAAGUCCGGUGCCGAAGACGUGGAAUCAACCUUGAAGGUUGAUUGGUAGGGGAGCAUUCUGCCGCCGGUGAAGGAGGGCCGCGAGACCCUCUGGAGGUUGCAGAAAAGCAAAUGCAGGCAUAAGUAACGACAAAGGGGGCGGGAAACCCCCUCGCCGGAAGGCCAAGGGUUCCUGAUCAACGCUAAUCGGAUCAGGGUAAGCCGGGACCUAAGCAAAAGCCGCGAGGCGUAUGCGAUGGACAAACGGUAAAAAUUCCGUUGCCUCCGGUUUGAGAGCCCCGUUGAUGACGGAGGAGCGAAAGACGCGCGUGCUGACGGAACAGCACGUUAAAGGGAAGUAGCCUUAUGGUGAAGCCCGACAGUACACAGAGGCUUCGGCCGAAGUGAUAGCCGUACCGUAGCAGACUCCCGAGAAAAGUCAGCGAGAGGCGCUUGAUCAAACCGGGGCCCGUACCGAAAACCGACACAGGUGGCCGGGUAGAAAAUACUGAGGCGCUCGAGAGAUUCACGGUCAAGGAACUAGGCAAAUUGGCCCCGUAACUUCGGGAGAAGGGGCCCUCGUUUAGCAAGCGAGGCGCAGAGAAUAAGUCCAGGCAACUGUUUAGCAAAAACACAGGGCUGUGCCAAGCCGCAAGGCGCUGCAUACAGCCUGACACCUGCCCGGUGCCGGAAGGUUAAGCGGAGCUGUCAUCGCAAGAGAAGCAGUGAAGUGAAGCCCCGGUAAACGGCGGCCGUAACUAUAACGGUCCUAAGGUAGCGAAAUUCCUUGUCGGGUAAGUUCCGACCU